CAUGAGCUGUACCAUUGUUCCCUGGCAGACUAGGAUGGAAGGUGAAUUAUUCCCAAGAAGAGUAUGCUACCAGUCUGCAGUUGUUGCCAUGAAAAAGAAUCCCUGUGGACAAUUUGGACUCGUUCUGUGCAAAGAUACUUUGGAAGUUCUGACUGCAGGACUACAAUAAGACCCUGUUAGUGUCACUAAAUGGCACAGCAACUUGCACCAGCAUAAGACUGUGCCUGGAAUGGUUAUAACCAUUUCACCUCCAGCUGAAGAUUAGUUGAAUCAUGUCAGCAACAGGAAAAGAGAAAAAAAAUCAAAGCAUGCCUGACUGUUUAAGGAAGCUGCAAGCUUAGAAUUACAGCAGCACUUUCUCAGGUCUCAGAUUUUCCAAAGACUAAUACUCCAUGACUAAGGAAUUGGGCUCAUAUGGAAAUGUUACCCAAGCUUCGCACUAGAGUAUAGCUGUUUUCCUGCAGUUCCUUUCUUUAAACGGUAGUGUUAAUCUAAAGAGAUUUCUAAAAGGAGAAAGUACAGCUAGGAAUAGACUUUCAAAAAUGAUAUAGCUGUCUCACACCUCACUCCAUGAUACUUCUGAACUCUUUAGGACUGUAUUGCAGGCUGAGUUAGCAGCUGUGAUAGUCCUGCCCUGUCUA